GAUGAAGAAACGUAGCGAAAUGCGAUAAGUAAUGUGAAUUGCAGAAUUCCGUGAAUCAUCGAAUCUUUGAACGCACAUUGCGCCCCCUGGUAUUCCGGGGGGCAUGCCUGUCCGAGCGUCAUUGCAACCCUCAAGCGCGGCUUGUGUGUUGGGCUUCGUCCCCCCGUGGACGUGCCCGAAAGGCAGUGGCGGCGUCCCGAAUGGUGCCCGAGCGUAUGGGAACUCUCUUCCGCUCGAACCGGCCCAUUCGGCGCUGGUCGAACCCCAAUUUUUUUUUACCGGUUGACCUCGGAUCAGGUAGGGAUACCCGCUGAACUUAAGCAUAUCAAUAAGCGGAGGA
rnacentral:misc_RNA from 1 species